GGCAAAAAUUGUAGUCCUCAGAAUACCCAUUAGCGGAAGAUGCAUGGUCUACUGAACAGCAGGUUGUUUUCUAUUGCUCGGUCUGCUUGCCGCUCUGUAAGAACAGAAGACGAAAACAAUCCGGGAUAUAUAAAACUUAACCCAUCUAUAUCCAAGAACCAACAAUGAAGAUGUACUGUUUGAGGUGUAAACGUGAGACAGAAUGCUCUGUAAACAACCGAAUACCACAAUCCAACAACCCAAAAAGACCAGGCACGGUCAGAAUAACUGGAGUUUGCAAAGUGUGCGGAACCAGUACGUCAAAAAUCGUUGGGUGAUCGACUGAAUCUUCCAUAAAUGAACAAAUACCGCAUGGAAGCAUGUAAAUAUAAGUACUAAAUACAAUAAACAUCAAGACAUGUCU